rnacentral:rRNA from 1 species
UACGGAGGAUGCAAGCGUUAUCCGGAAUGAUUGGGCGUAAAGCGUCCGCAGGUGGCUGGGUAAGUCUGCUGUCAAAGAGCGAAGCUCAACUUCGUAAAGGCAGUGGAAACUACACGGCUAGAGUGCGUUCGGGGCAGAGGGAAUUCCUGGUGUAGCGGUGAAAUGCGUAGAGAUCAGGAAGAACACCGGUGGCGAAGGCGGCCCCCUGGGCCGGCCCUGACGCUGAGACGCGAAGGCGUGGGGAGCGAACGGG